CGGCACCUCAAGUGGUCAGGAUGAUUAUUGGGCCUAAAGCAUCCGUAGCCGGCUCUGUAAGUUUUCGGUUAAAUCUGUACGCUCAACGUACAGGCUGCCGGGAAUACUGCAGAGCUAGGGAGUGGGAGAGGUAGACGGUACUCGGUAGGAAGGGGUAAAAUCCCUUGAUCUAUUGAUGACCACCUGUGGCGAAGGCGGUCUACCAGAACACGUCCGACGGUGAGGGAUGAAAGCUGGGGGAGCAAACCGGAUUAGAUACCCGCGUAGUCC
rnacentral:rRNA from 1 species